rnacentral:misc_RNA from 1 species
GGUUGAAGCACCGAAGAAGAAGGUAAAGAAAACCAACAUACCGGUGGUAGAAUUGGUUUAUGGUGGAUUGGCAUCUGCUGAUGUCCAAAAGGCGGUGGAAAAGGAGUUUGAAAUGGCUUUACAGGAUCGGGUGAUGGAAGAAACCAAAGAGAAGAAAAAUGCUGUGGAGGCAUAUGUAUAUGAAAUGAGAAACAAGUUGCACGAUAAAUACCAGGAUUUUGUCACUGAUUCACAGAGAGAAGAGCUUUCUGCCAAACUUCAGGAGGUUGAAGAUUGGCUGUAUGAAGACGGGGAGGAUGAAACGAAGGGAGUCUACAUUGCAAAACUAGAGGAACUGAAGAAACAAGGUGACCCGAUAGAGGAGCGAUACAAAGAGCACAUGGAGAGAGGAACAGUGAUCGAUCAACUUGCUUACUGCAUCAACAGCUACAGGGAAGCGGCAAUGUCAGCUGAUCCUAAAUUUGACCACAUUGACAUCUCUGAGAAACAGAAGGUCUUGAAUGAGUGUGUGGAAGCAGAGGCCUGGUUAAGAGAGAAAAAGCAGAACCAAGACUCACUACCCAAACAUGCUACACCAGUCCUCUUUUCUGCUGAUGUGAGAAAGAAAGCCGAAACACUCGACAGGUUUUGUAGACCGAUAAUGACGAAACCUAAGCCAGCUGCUCCCGAGACGCCUCCCCCAGCUCCUCAGGGCAGUGGGCAGCAACAGGGAGAUGCCAGUGCUGCUUCUAAUGCUAGUGCAAGCCCGAACGGGAAAGCAGGUGAUGAAAAUGAGGUGUCCUCAGCCUCUACAGAGCCAAUGGAGAUGGAGAAACCUGAACAUACAAGUGCUGCUUGAAUGCCUUGCUUUAUUAUUUAUGACGAACUGUUGUCAAGCCGAAAAAAUGAAAUGAAAUCUUGAUGAGCUGAUGAAAACUAUGGAAGGCUGGCCUUGUAUUGACUUGUGAAAUCACUUGUGAAGCAUUUUGU